CUAGAUUGAUGGCGAGUGGCGAACGGGUGAGUAAUACAUCGGAACGUGCCCUGUAGUGGGGGAUAACUAGUCGAAAGAUUAGCUAAUACCGCAUACGACCUGAGGGUGAAAGUGGGGGACCGCAAGGCCUCAUGCUAUAGGAGCGGCCGAUGUCUGAUUAGCUAGUUGGUGAGGUAAAGGCUCACCAAGGCGACGAUCAGUAGCUGGUCUGAGAGGACGAUCAGCCACACUGGGACUGAGACACGGCCCAGACUCCUACGGGAGGCAGCAGUGGGGAAUUUUGGACAAUGGGCGAAAGCCUGAUCCAGCAAUGCCGCGUGUGUGAAGAAGGCCUUCGGGUUGUAAAGCACUUUUGUCCGGAAAGAAAUCGCACUUACUAAUACUAGGUGUGGAUGACGGUACCGGAAGAAUAAGGACCGGCUAACUACGUGCCAGCAGCCGCGGUAAUACGUAGGGUCCAAGCGUUAAUCGGAAUUACUGGGCGUAAAGCGUGCGCAGGCGGUUGUGCAAGACCGAUGUGAAAUCCCCGAGCUUAACUUGGGAAUUGCAUUGGUGACUGCACGGCUAGAGUGUGUCAGAGGGGGGUAGAAUUCCACGUGUAGCAGUGAAAUGCGUAGAGAUGUGGAGGAAUACCGAUGGCGAAGGCAGCCCCCUGGGAUAACACUGACGCUCAUGCACGAAAGCGUGGGGAGCAAACAGGAUUAGAUACCCUGGUAGUCCACGCCCUAAACGAUGUCAACUAGUUGUUGGGGAUUCAUUUCCCUUAGUAACGUAGCUAACGCGUGAAGUUGACCGCCUGGGGAGUACGGUCGCAAGAUUAAAACUCAAAGGAUUUGACGGGGAC
rnacentral:rRNA from 1 species